rfam:Salmo salar isolate Sally breed double haploid chromosome ssa10, whole genome shotgun sequence.
UGCAUGCAUGACUGUAAGUUGCUUUAGAUAAAAGCAUCUGCUAAUUGUCAUGUU